AUACAGAGGGUGCGAGCGUUAAUCGGAUUUACUGGGCGUAAAGCGUGCGUAGGCGGCUUUUUAAGUCGGAUGUGAAAUCCCUGAGCUUAACUUAGGAAUUGCAUUCGAUACUGGGAAGAUAGAGUAUGGGAGAGGAUGGUAGAAUUCCAGGUGUAGCGGUGAAAUGCGUAGAGAUCUGGAGGAAUACCGAUGGCGAAGGCAGCCAUCUGGCCUAAUACUGACGCUGAGGUACGAAAGCAUGGGGAGCAAACAGGAUUAGAAACCCUUGUAGUCC
rnacentral:rRNA from 1 species